UACGAAGGGUGCAAGCGUUACUCGGAAUUACUGGGCGUAAAGCGUGCGUAGGUGGUUUGUUAAGUCUGUUGUGAAAGCCCCGGGCUCAACCUGGGAAUGGCAAUGGAUACUGGCAAGCUAGAGUGCGGUAGAGGGUAGUGGAAUUCCCGGUGUAGCGGUGAAAUGCGUAGAGAUCGGGAGGAACACCAGUGGCGAAGGCGGCUCACUGGCCCGGUACUGACGCUGAGGUGCGAAAGCGUGGGGAGCAAACAGG
rnacentral:rRNA from 2 species